GUUAGUGGUGAAAUCCCAGAGCUUAACUCUGGAACUGCCAUUAAAACUUUUCAGCUAGAGUAUGAUAGAGGAAAGCAGAAUUUCUAGUGUAGAGGUGAAAUUCGUAGAUAUUAGAAAGAAUACCAAAUGCGAAGGCAGCUUUCUGGAUCAUUACUGACACUGAGGAACGAAAGCAUGGGUAGCGAAGAGGAUUAGAUACCCUCGUAGUCCAUGCCGUAAACGAUGUGUGUUAGACGUUGGAAAUUUAUUUUCAGUGUCGCAGGGAAACCGAUAAACACACCGCCUGGGGAGUACGACCGCAAGGUUAAAACUCAAAUGAAUUGACGGGGACCCGCACAAGUAGUGGAGCAUGUGGUUUAAUUCGAAGAUACGCGCAGAACCUUACCAACACUUGACAUGUUCGUCGCGACUCUAAGAGAUUAGAGUUUUCGGUUCGGCCGGACGAAACACAGGUGCUGCAUGGCUGUCGUCAGCUCGUGUCGUGAGAUGUUGGGUUAAGUCCCGCAACGAGCGCAACCCUCACUUUUAGUUGCCAUCAUUAAGUUGGGCACUCUGAAAGAACUGCCAGUGAUAAGCUGGAGGAAGGUGGGGAUGACGUCAAGUCCUCAUGGCCCUUACGUGUUGGGCUACACACGUGCUACAAUGGCAUCUACAAUAGGAAGCAAGAUGGCAACAUCAAGCAAAUCCUAAAAAGAUGCCUCAGUUCGGAUUGCACUCUGCAACUCGAGUGCAUGAAGCUGGAAUUACUAGUAAUCGCGGAUCAGCGCGCCGCGGUGAAUACGUUCCCGGGUCUUGUACACACCGCCCGUCACACCA
rnacentral:rRNA from 1 species